rnacentral:sRNA from 1 species
UGUCAAAUGAAAGAAAUUACAAUCAGGCUGUAUAAAUAAUAAAUUUCUAACAAAAUAAGUCCGAAAUUGAUGGAAGGCAUAUCAACACUUGCUAGCAUGUCCUUAAAAAAUAACGGUUAACUGAGAAGAAGGAAUCAUUUUUCAACCAUUAUCUAAAAAAUAUUUCAAAAAUGAUGCACUAAACUUAAUAGACAAACUGCUGUGAGUACUUUCCCUUUGGGGUGUACUUUGAAGAACUAGGACUGGUCAUAUCCAGAAGGUUACCCGACCACUGUAGUGUGCAUCAAGCAGAGAUCUUUGCAAUUAAAGAAAUGGAAUGGCUAAGACAUAAUUUCGUAACGAAAAUUGGCAUAAAUUUCUUCUCAGGCAAUCUCUCAACGAUAAUUCAAUUCAAAAUUCACCUGCUCUGGUCACCGGGCCACGGAGAUAGCUCAGGGAAAGACCAGCUUACGAGACCAACCAUACACAUUCCAGGAGAACUAGAAUCUGUGCAAUGGCGAGCAGAAGGAGUUCUACCUUAGGUUUCCAUUUCUUUGAGGAUUUGCUUGAUUUUAAAGCAUUUGGAUGGUUCAACGGUAGGAUCUAGAAGGAAUCCUCUUUCUCCUGUUCUUGCGAGUUUUUCGCUUUAAAUGUUGGUCAUAUGUUCGAUUUUCAUAGUAAAAAUACAUGUAAAAACAAUUUUA